UUUUUUUUUGAGACGGAGUCGCAUUCUAUCGCCCAGGCUGGAGUGCAGUGCCGCAAUCUCGGCUCACUGCAACCUCUGCCUCUGGGGUUCAAGUGACUCUUCUGCUUCAGCCUUCCAAGUAGCUGGGAUUACAGUCACAUGCCACCACACCUGCCUAAUUUUUUUUGUAUUUUUAGUAGAGAUGGGGUUUCGCUAUGUUGCCCAGGCUGGUCUCGAACUCCUGGCCUCAAGUGACCCUCCUGCCUUGGUCUCCCAAAAUGUUGGGAUUACAGGCAUGAGUGGGAGGAUCACUUGAGCCCAGGAGGUCAAGGCUGCAAGGAAGUGCGAUUGUGCCACUGCACUCCUGCCUGGGCAACAGAGUGAGACCUUGUCUCAUAAAUAGAUAGUUAAAUAAAUAAAUAAAUAAAAACACAUUUCUAGACUUCCAGAAAAAAUGGGGAGUGAAAACAGGCCACAGAAUCUCUCUGCACAUAUACUUUACAAAAAGUAUACAACAGUAUAUUUUGUAUACUGGAAAAACAACAGUAAGAACUCCUUUAAAAGAACUCUUUUAACAGUAAGAACUCCUUUAAAAGCAUUACUAGAAUCAGCUAGAAAAAGCAAAUGUCCACAACCUAAGGCAACAGAGGCCAAAAGAAUGCAAUUAUUUCAAAAUAAAUUUGGAACAGCAAGAAAUGAAAUAAGACAUAGCUGGAAGUCAAAUUCUCACCAAGAGGGAAGACUGGCAGUCCCAGAACAUUCCCCUAAUGAAUUCAUUCUUUUCUUCUCCAAAAUGAUUACGUCCCAUCUCUUUUCUCCUAAAUCUCCCACAUCUCCAUGCUCCUCACUUCAAAUCUUGUUUCAUUGAUAAAUAGAAGUUGUCACAAGAGAAACUUAUCUUCCCACAUAGAAUCUACCAAUAUGCUUUUAUCUGUACUCAAAUAUACUUUCUUCCUGUUAUAAAGAUCAACUAUCCUUGCUCUUAUCUAAGGCAAACCCCUCUACUGUGUCCUAGGUCUCAUCUUCUCUUGCAUAUUCAUCAAACAUUUUGUUCCUGUUAUUAUCCCCUCCGUAUCCUGCAUUCUCAGUUUCUCCCUCAUCACCCUACAGUCCAUAUCCACAUCUGCUUAGAAAGGGAAUAGGAGGCCCUUUAUAUCAAAGUUCUUCAAAGACUCGAUAAUUGCAAUCUCCACUUCCUUACCUUACAUUAUCUCUUGAAUUCGUUCCAGUUUGGAUUAUUGUCUCCACAGCACCAGUUAAAGUGCUCUUGUUGAGAUUACCAACUACCUUCUUGCCAGAUCAUUUUCCUCUUCUCAAAUGUUUGGGAGUCCCAGGCAUAUUCCUCAUACCCACCAUCAACAUUCAUUUCCCUCCAAGGUCAUGUCUUCAAUCUCUUGGUGUUAAAUACUGUCUACCAUCAUAGGACUCCUAACACUUAUAUUCUACCCCUGAUACCUCUGUUGAGCUCUGGACUCACAUACAACUGCUUGUCCAGCAACUCCACUCAGAUGUCUAAAGAGAACCUCAAAGCUAGCAUAUUUAAAACAAAUCUCUUGAUUUUCUUCUCCUCCACAUUUUACUUCUCCCUACAUCUUCCCCCAUGUCAAUAUAUGGCAUCAUUUCUAGUUGCUAUGGGCAAAAAUGUAGAAAUUGUCCUUAAUUCCUCUUUGUCCCAGUUAUUAAGCUGUUGUCUUUCACCAAUAAACCUUUCCAUACACACUGCUUUGUGACGCUGGGACUGGGACUCUGCAAACUUUAUUUCUGCUUUGCCAGCUGAAUUCCUGCUAUGUUUCAUCAAUACAGAGUAGUAGGGAAAAACUAGAAGUCAAGAAGAGGGGAAAAUAACUUGCUCUCCCUCAUAGGCCUUCUGUACCUGUCAGUGUUGCCCCAGCUAUGGGCCUUCACCCUGACAAUGGUAGUUAGCUCAAAACUGCAACUAUGUUUGGCUCUCCUACACCAGUCCCAACAGACCCUCUCAGGGGUACCAGCAGCUGAUGGGCAGCACUUCCUUCUAUGAGGUCAGGGUUCCAGCUCUGCCAAGUCCCUCCUCCUAGCUCCUGGGUUCUAGGAACUUGAGGUCUUUCUGUGUUUACCCAGUACCAGGGGCAGUAGCUGCUUCCCCAAGUUACUCUGUUAUCUCAGUGCUCUCUUUUUGCUUUUUUCAGUCCUGUAACACCCAUUUAACCAAUCUCUUAUACUCAGUGAUUACUCUUGAAAUACUUAGCAGCAGCCAGAGUGGUUCUUCUAUAGCAUAAACCAUCUGCCGGCUCCUCAUCACACUUAGAACAAAAAUCAAAUUAUUUCCUAGGGUGUAUAGCUCCUUUGGUGAUCUGGCUGGCCUAUCCAUUUCUCUAGUCUCAUCUCCCACCCACUUCCUGUUACUCGUUUGGCUCUAAUCACUCUUGAGCACACUGCUUUCCCACCUCAGGGCCUUUGUAUGUGCUCUUCUCGUUUCUGGACUGCCCAGGUCUUUGCCUAGCUCACUGCCUCACUUCACUCAGGCCUAUUCUCAAAUGCCCUCUUAGAGAGGUCUGCUCUAACUACUCUAUCUGAAAUGCACAAUCCUCUCCGUAC
rnacentral:lncRNA from 1 species